rnacentral:rRNA from 1 species
UUAACCUCGGAUCAGGCAAGACUACCCGCUGAA